AAUUUGUUUUCUUUCCCCUUUUCUUAUCCCUUUUUGUCCUAUUGGGUAAAUUUCAAAUACUACCCAUGUGAUUUCGUAUUUUUUUACUUCAAUAUUCUAUAAUUUAAAGUGUAUCAAUUUAGUACCUUGUGAUUUUAUUUUUCUCUUUUCGUCGGUCCCUCCGUUAACUUUUCGUUAAAUCAUAUACAAAAAUUUUCAAAUACCUCAUCUAUAGUUUAUCAAAUAUUCACUUUAAUACCCUUUUGUUUUAACUUUGUCACUGAUUUAACAAAAAAAAUUAGUGAAGGAGAUAACAAAAAAAAAAAAAUAAAAUCAUAGGGUACGAAAAU
rnacentral:lncRNA from 1 species